GACGAACGCUGGCGGCGUGCUUAACACAUGCAAGUCGAGCGAUGAAGUUCCUUCGGGAACGGAUUAGCGGCGGACGGGUGAGUAACACGUGGGUAACCUGCCUCGUAGAGGGGAAUAGCCUUCCGAAAGGAAGAUUAAUACCGCAUAAGAUUGUAGUUUCGCAUGAAACAGCAAUUAAAGGAGUAAUCCGCUAUGAGAUGGACCCGCGUCGCAUUAGCUAGUUGGUGAGGUAACGGCUCACCAAGGCGACGAUGCGUAGCCGACCUGAGAGGGUGAUCGGCCACAUUGGGACUGAGACACGGCCCAGACUCCUACGGGAGGCAGCAGUGGGGAAUAUUGCACAAUGGGGGAAACCCUGAUGCAGCAACGCCGCGUGAGUGAUGACGGUCUUCGGAUUGUAAAACUCUGUCUUCAGGGACGAUAAUGACGGUACCUGAGGAGGAAGCCACGGCUAACUACGUGCCAGCCGCCGCCGUAAUAC
rnacentral:rRNA from 1 species